AUGAAUUGGCGAAGUUGGAACUGCCGGGGGGCAGGGAAUCCCUCGACAGUUCGUGAUCUCGCGUAUCUUGUUAGGACGCAUUCCCCAAGGCUUGUUUUCUUGUGCGAGACUAAGCAAAAUAAAAAUAAGAUGUAUCGUUCGCGUAAUAGGUUAGGGCUUUCUGGUUUUGAAGGAGUCAGUAGUAAUGGUCGUAGUGGUGGCCUAGCACUGUUCUGGCAUGAGUCUAUGUAUGUCGAUGUGCAAGAAGCAAAUGAAAGAUUGAUUGACGUGUAUUUGCGUGUGUCCCCGGACAAGCCACUAUGGAGAGCUACAUUUGUUUAUGGCGAACCGAGAGUAGAGAAUAGACACAUGAUGUGGGAUAAGCUCAAAGGACUGCAUGCUCAAAGCACUCUACCAUGGGUGAUUAUCGGUGACUUCGAUGAGGCUAUGUGGGAUUUUGAGCAUCAAUCGGAAACUCUGAGACCUGCUGGACAAAUGAUUAAUUUUCGGGAUGCACUUGAAGCUUGUGGCCUGACUGAUCUUGGUUUUUCAGGUCACCCCUUCACAUAUGAUAAUAGGCGGAGUGGCCGGGCGAACGUCCAAGUUCGGCUGGAUAGAGCGGUGGCAUCCAACGACUGGAGAGACAUGUUUAUGCAAGCUUCGGUGGCACACCUUGUGUCGCCGGCGUCGGACCAUAGUCCGCUGCUCCUCAAGUUCUCGCUGGAACAGGACAUGCGGCCUCGCAGCAGCCGCCGGUACGAGUUGAUGUGGGAGAGAUCGCCGGUGUUAGAGGCCAUUAUCGCAAACUCUUGGUCAGGCAAAGGUACGAAGUGGAACCUGGGAGAUGUAAGGGAGGCCCUUGCUACUGUUAUGGCUGAUCUACACACUUGGAGUAAUAAUUUUUUUGGCAAUGUAACACGUGAGCUAGAGAAGUCACGCACUAGGCUUGAGGAACUAACCAAUAUGAAUGCAGACCGAGCAAAAAUAAGACUGGAGAUGGACAAGAUGAAUGAGUUGUUAUACAGGGAGGAAAUGUUGUGGCUCUAG
rnacentral:rRNA from 1 species